rnacentral:rRNA from 1 species
UACGGAGGAUGCGAGCGUUAUCCGGAUUUAUUGGGUUUAAAGGGUGCGUAGGCGGAUUUGUAAGUCAGCGGUAAAAAUGCGGUGCUCAACGCCGUAUCGCCGUUGAAACUGAUGAUCUUGAGUGGGCGAGAAGUAUGCGGAAUGCGUGGUGUAGCGGUGAAAUGCAUAGAUAUCACGCAGAACUCCGAUUGCGAAGGCAGCAUACCGGCGCCCGACUGACGCUGAAGCACGAAAGCGUGGGUAUCGAACAGG